UACAGAGGUCUCAAGCGUUGUUCGGAUUCAUUGGGCGUAAAGGGUGCGUAGGCGGCGCGGUAAGUCGGGUGUGAAAUCUCGGGGCUUAACUCCGAAACUGCAUUCGAUACUGCCGUGCUUGAGGACUGGAGAGGAGACUGGAAUUUACGGUGUAGCGGUGAAAUGCGUAGAUAUCGAUAAGGAAGACCAGUGGCAAAGGCGGGUCUCUGGACAGUUC
rnacentral:rRNA from 1 species